GAGGUACUCCCUCCAUUCGGAAUUACUUGUUGAAGAAAUGAAUGUAUUUAGUUGUAUUUUAGUUGUAGAUACAUCCAUUUUUAGGACAAGCAAUUCCGAACGGAGGGAGUAGCAG
rnacentral:pre_miRNA from 1 species